rnacentral:lncRNA from 1 species
AUUCAUUUUAUUUAUAUCAGUAAUUUGUGGCUUGCCAAACAAAUAGUACAUUUAAAGCUUGCCAAACCAAGACAUGAUCUAUGACCACGAUCAUGCCAACAACAGUGAUCCUAUAUGUUAAUUAUGCCUACGGUCAUACUUCACCAACGAUGACCUUUACAAUUAUAUCGCGCCAUCAUUCUCAUUAGAGGGUAUGUCAUCAUCCAUACGGAACGAUCCUCUCAUGUCUUUUUAGACCAGAAGGGGGAGAAACAGAAAUCCUUCAGAGAUCCAAAGCCUAACGAAAUACUUAAUAAAU